rnacentral:rRNA from 1 species
CGUAUGACACCUACCUAGCAGAGGGAAUAACCCGGCGAAAGUCGGACAAUACCGCAUAAAGCAGGGGCACCGCAUGGUGAUAUUUGUUAAAGAGAUUCGCUGAUAGAUGGGCAUGCGUUCCAUUAGGUAGUGGUGAGGUAACGGCUCACCAAGCCGACGAUGGAUAGGGGAACUGAGAGGUUGGUCCCCCACACUGGUACUGAGACACGGACCAGACUCCUACGGGAGGCAGCAGUGAGGAAUAUUGGUCAAUGGGCGGGAGCCUGAACCAGCCAAGUCGCGUGAAAAGGAAGAAGGAUCUAUGGUUCGUAAACUUCUUUUGCAGGGGAAUAAAGUGCAGGACGUGUCCUGUUUUGUAUGUACCCUGAGAAUAAGGAUCGGCUAACUCCGUGCCAGCCGCUGC